rnacentral:lncRNA from 1 species
CCCGGCUAAUUUUGUAUUUUAGUAGAGACAGGGUUUCACCAUGUUGGCCAGGCUGGUCUCGAACUCCUGACCUCAAGUGAUCUGCCCACCUCGGCCUCCCAAAGCGCUGGAAUUAUAGGCGUGAGCCAUGGCGCCCGGCCAGCACUGAUUUUUAAAAGUACUCAUAUGGUUCUUCUCACUUCCAAUUGUGAAUGUCUUCCCUCCUCCAUUCAUUGUAAAAUACCCAAAGGCAGAGAUGCACAUUGUUUAUACUUCUCUGUGUCUUGCCCAAAGCCCUGUGUGUGGAGGCCACUGUCAAGCUGAAAGGACAAGAUGUCUGCACCUUUCACUCAUUUAUGAUGCCGGUAAAAAGAAAACCAGAGCUGGCCGUUCUCAAAUCCUUUACAACUGCUCCUCCCGGGUUCUCUGUGUUUGCAGAUGUAAAUGCUAAAGGUUUUUUUCCCUCACCUCCAGUUCAAAAGGCACCAUUGCUUGUUGACAUCUUCUAUCUCCAAACCUAAUAAUGCUACUUGACCAGUUAAAGAUA